GAAAAAUUAGUUAAAUUAUAACAUUAAAAUGUCAAUUUAAAAUAAUUCUUUAUGAAUAUUUUUCU
rnacentral:tRNA from 1 species